rnacentral:rRNA from 1 species
AGAUUAAACUGUAGAGUUUGAUCCUGGCUCAGAUUGAACGCUAGCGGCAUGCCUUACACAUGCAAGUCGAACGGCAGCACGGGGGCAACCCUGGUGGCGAGUGGCGAACGGGUGAGUAAUGCAUCGGAACGUGCCCAUCGAUGGGGGAUAACUGCGCGAAAGCGUUGCUAAUACCGCAUACGACCUACGGGUGAAAGCAGGGGACCGCAAGGCCUUGCGUCGAUGGAGCGGCCGAUGCCGGAUUAGCUAGUUGGUGAGGUAAAGGCUCACCAAGGCAACGAUCCGUAGCUGGUCUGAGAGGACGACCAGCCACACUGGGACUGAGACACGGCCCAGACUCCUACGGGAGGCAGCAGUGGGGAAUCUU